CUUGCUUCUUGUAUUCAUCUCUGAAGGAAAAUGGCAGAAACAGACGUGUAUGUAAGCAAUAGCGUGGAUUGCGGCAGCGAAAGUGAGGAAGCUGGCGUGGAAUCCGAAAUUUUUAAUGAGGACGAAAGAGGGAGUUUUGGGUCAGAAAGUGAAGCGGAAGAGGCAUGUAAUGUGUUGUUUGAAAAGCGAAAGAAAAAGGCCGGGAAGAAGUCAUCGUGGCCAAUGGACAUAACAAACGACCUAGUGGACGUUAUCUGCGAUAAUGAGUAUUUUCGCAAAAAACUGAUUUUUACAAACACAAAGACUAGCAAGAACGGAGAAAUUUAUUUGAAGGUAAUCAAAGAGGUGGAGAAACGUUGCCAGGCUAGGAGACAAGAAUACAAGUUCAGCCUUGUCCAAACUAGAAAUAAGUUCAAGAAGUGCGUGAGUGAGUGCAAGAAGGCUGCCUUAACCUGCAAAUCUGCAUCUGGCAUAAAGCGAUUUCAGGAGGACAGGACUAUGGAAAUGGUUUAAUCAACUGCUGCCUCUUGUCAAGUCCAGAGAAUCUUGUCAGCCAGAGCAGGCCAUUGAACCAUCAACUUGUUCACAUGACAGUCAAGAAGGAAGUCCAACCUCAACUGAAGUGAAUCAUUUAAAUGAAGAGGGGGGCUACAACAACAAUGAGUUUGGCCAAGGUCCUUCACCAGAGACCUCCUCAGGAACUUCAACUCCCACAAGAGCAAAUCUUCCUUCAAAGAAGAGGCCAUUUGUUCCCAUCAAAAAGGCAGCUGGAAAAAAGGAAAAGCUUGAUGAUCUGGUAAAAAUAACAUCAAAAGCAAUCCUUGAGGUCACUGAGCAGCUAAAAAAGGACCCAAUGGCUGACAUGCUAGCAUUUCUUGAGAGAGAGAAUCAAAGAUCAAGUGAACAUGAAAUGAGAUUACUCACAAUGAUGUUCAAUGGAAAUCAAGCACAGCAGCAAUUCCAACCACCAGUUCCACAGCCUCCUUCUUAUCAACAUUUCCCCCAAAACAUGCAGCAGUCAUACAGUAUGGAUCCAAGACAACAAUUUCGACAAGCAUUUACUCCACAAGAUAAUUAUCCUCCAAGGAAUCAAAACUUUGAACAUCAAUCCCAGUCAGAUGAUUUAUUUCAGCUAUAAACAUUUAGAAUCACAUCAUAUUUCAGUUUCAUAUUUCAGUUUCAGUUUCCAUUCAUCUAUCAAUUAAUCCUAAAUCCAAUCUACAAGUAAUUACAUAAGAAACAUUAUUUAAUACAAACUACAAUGUACAACAUAAGAACAUAAGUAGUGUAUAAAUAGUGUCAAAGUGGCUCCAGAAAUCACAAUUGUCAAGAAUUA